GCCAGGCGUGACAGUGCAUGCCUGUAGUCCCAGCUACUUGGGAGGCUGAGGCUGGAGGAUCGCUUGAGUCUAGGAGUUCUGGGCUAUAGUGCACUAUGCCAGUCGAGUGUCUGCACUAAGUUCAGCAUCAAUAUGGUGAACUCCUGGGAGCAGGGGACCACCAGGUUGCCUAAGGAGGGGUGAACUGGCCAAGGUCAGAAACGGAGCAGGUCAAAACUCCCUUGCUGAUCAGUAGUGGAAUCAUGCCUGUGAAUAGCCACUGAACUCUAGCAUGGGCAACACAUCGAGACCCCAUCUCUU
ensembl:misc_RNA Metazoa_SRP Metazoan signal recognition particle RNA